UUCAGUCGAAGCUCCGCCCCUGGAGCUGCUUGCCCUGACAGUCAUUGACUAUUGACCGAGGGAUAUAAGCUGGAGAGGCACACUGACCCAGGGAAGGAAAAGGACGACCGUGAAGGGAAGGAGUAGAGAAAUACAGCAGAGACAGAGAAAAGACAUCACCUACAAAGGCAGAGAUCGGGAGCAAUGUAAGACGGCCAGGAGGAAGGAAAUGGGUGUUUCCUGUGAACCAGAGGUUUGCUCGAAAGGCAAGACUGAUUCAAGUUAAAUGGCUGUGGCUGCAACACACGUGAGCUGUGAUCUGCUUUGCGGUGCAGCACAAGAGGAGAUGCAUCGUGCCCCAUUCAUCCACCCUUACAAGUGCCCAGAUGGAACUCAGCUCACCACAGCAUUUUCUCCCCACCUUCUUUCUAGGAAAUGAUGGUCAUGGGUUACUCUGGCACCAAAU